rnacentral:lncRNA from 1 species
GGUGGCGCUGCGCUGCCGGGGCGCGAGCGGGGCGGCCAUGUCUUCAGAUGCGCAGUGGUUGACGCCAGAGGAGAGGAGCCAGCUUAUUCCUGACUUGAAAGCAGCAGGGUGGUCGGAGUUGAGCGAGAGAGACGCCAUCUACAAAGAGUUCUCCUUCAAAAAUUUUAACCAGGUGAUCCCUGUGAAUGACUGACGUCCCUGGUUCGGGUUGUGUGUCCUGUUGCUGUUUCUGUGACUCCUGCCUGUCUGGUCGCAUGCAGACCAGGAUCUACACCCUCUUUCUUAUGAGUUAACGACAGAGACUGUCUCUCUGACUUGGGCAGUUCUAGCUCUGGGCAAGGGUUGACUUUGUGUUACUUGGAAAAUCAAUACUGUACGGUAUUUGUACAGUAACCCCAGCACUUGGGAAAGUGCGACAGGAUUGUGAGUUCAGGAUCAGCCUGGACUACAUAGUGAGUUCUAGCCUCAUCUGAGUUGUGAGACCUUAUCUAACAGAGAGAGAAAGAGAGAGAGAGAGAGAGAGAGAGAGAGAGAGAGAGAGAGAGAGAGAGGAGGGGAAGGAAGAGAGGGAGAAAGAGAGAGGGAAGGAGAAAGAGAGAGACAGACAGAUAGAGAGACAGAGACACAGAGACACAGAAAGACAGAGAGACAGAGACAGGCAGAGAGACGGUGGGGGAGGAGACAGAAUGAGAACGAAUGCGUAUCAGAUUUUGAAGCUGCUACAGCUUCCAUUGAGGGAUGGGUAAGAGGUUUAGUCUUCUUCUGAAUUUUAAGUAACACUCGAUAAGGAUGUGAGUGUCUUCUGUAUACUAGAAGGGGGCAUGAAUAAAGCCAGUUGAGAAACAUAUUCUGCUUCUUGCUAUCUCAACUCUUUCAGGGCACUUAAAAAAAAAAAAACCUCCUUGUACUUGUGCCCCUAAAUUCCCUCCUAAGCUGCACCUCACUUCCCGCCCCCUUCUGGCCUGCUCUCCAGCCCCCUGAACGUUUCCUCAAACUCUGACCUCCCCCAGGGAGACUCAACCUUCACAGGUAACUGUUCUGUUGGGGCCCCACCCUGUUCAGAGAGUCGUCUCCCAUGACUUACCCUUCGAGAUUACUUCACCGCUUCUGCGUGAGGUCACUGCUUUUGGACUGACUCGUGUUUGCUCAGUUACUUUGGUAAUCCCUCGGGCAGAUUUAUUGUUUUUAUUUAUGUUAGGUGUUGGCAUCUAGAAGUCAGAGACCGUGUUUGCUUAGCUAUCCAUUGUGCAUAACUUGGUUCUGAGCACAAACAGGCGUUGAUUACCGUGUAGACAUUGAUUGCAGUGUUUGCUGGCUUCUACAAGGGUGUGUGAGCACCGGGUUCCCACCAGAGGAACCCUUGGCAGGUCCCCCCCCCCCCCGCU